UACGAAGGGGGCUAGCGUUGCUCGGAAUCACUGGGCGUAAAGCGCACGUAGGCGGCUUUCUAAGUCAGGGGUGAAAUCCUGGAGCUCAACUCCAGAACUGCCUUCGAUACUGGCGAUCUUGAGUCCGGAAGAGGUGAGUGGAACUCCUAGUGUAGAGGUGGAAUUCGUAGAUAUUAGGAAGAACACCAGUGGCGAAGGCGGCUACACUGG
rnacentral:rRNA from 1 species